rnacentral:rRNA from 1 species
GACAGAGGAUGCAAGCGUUAUCCGGAAUGAUUGGGCGUAAAGCGUCUGUAGGUGGCUUUUCAAGUCCGCCGUCAAAUCCCAGGGCUCAACCCUGGACAGGCGGUGGAAACUACCAAGCUGGAGUACGGUAGGGGCAGAGGGAAUUUCCGGUGGAGCGGUGAAAUGCGCAGAUAUCAGGAGGAACACCGGUGGCGAAGGCGGUUCUCUGGGCAUUACCUGACGCUGAGGAGCGAAAGUGUGGGGAGCGAACAGG